GACUGGAGCCAGGGACAGAGUAUUUCUGGAAGGCUUGGCUGGGCUCCUCAUCUCCUGCUAUUUAUUUACUCAGUGAGAUCACUAUAAACAAUGCUGGGGCAUGGUGACCAUCCUCAGUGGCCACUCCUCUCUGGCUAUCCAGAGAUCAAGAAAUAUAAAUACUCCAUCCAUUUGUGUAUCUCAGAACAGUUGCUUAGCACCAUCAGGUGCAGUAAUGGUGCUGGGGACAUGGAUACAAUAAUAGCUGACACUUGUUUGUCCCUUUGCAGGUGCCAGGAACUGUUGAAAGUGCUUUGUGUGUUCGAUGUUAUUUAGCAUAACACACAUCUGUCAAAAUGGUUCUUUUAUUGUCAAGAGGAAACUGAGGCUCAGAACAGAAAUAGAACAUGCCCGGGGGCUGGGGUUAUAGCUCGGUGGUAGAGCACUUGCCUCGUACAUGUGAGGCACUGGGUUCCAUCCUUAGCAGCACAUAAAAAUAAAUAAAGUAAAUAUGUACAUAUAAAAAGAACUUGCCAAGGCCACUCAGUCAGGAAGUGGUGGGAUCUGGGCUUGGAACUAGAGCUUUGUCCUCAUAACCACCAUGCUGCACGGUCCCCAUCAGUUUUCAUAAGGAAUAAGCCGCAGACUUGGCAUUCCAGAGGCACAGAACAGGGCAAGCAAACCUGUGGGUGGAGUUCCCUGCAUCAGGGGUCCUCAGAGCCUGAGUGGCUCCCGCCACAUGCCAGGCCCUGUUCUGACUUCCUUACACAUAGUAUUGUCCCCUAAGUCUCCACAGUGGCCCUAGCUGGUAAGCGUAGCAGGGCCCGCAUUUCGCAUUGGAGACACAGGGUCCAGCAGCUCACCUGUGGUCUCAGGACCGUCAAGUGGCCCCACUGAGAUUUGAAGCCAGCCCCGCCCUCCAGGGUCCAGGCUCUUAUCCUCGUCCAGCAUCAGGCCUCUGUCUGGCAAAUGUCAUGCCCAUGUGCUGGUGUGCAGGUGGCCCAGAAGCCCCUGACCCCUGGGUGGCUCAGGGGUUCCUCCCGCGCCCUGUGCUUGCAGGAGCAGAGCUGGCGCUGCUAACUGAAAGCUGCGGGAGCGUCUGUUCCCUUGUCUAUAAAAUGGGGGAAUGAGGUCAGCUCCACCUGCCUCUUGGAGCUGCUGUGGGGACCAAGAUCAGGUAUGGGCAGGGCUCUGUGGAGCGUGACUGCUGGCCUCAGAAACACCAAGUUCCAUGGCUCCAUGGCUGUUGUGCUGGCAGCUUGGGAGGAGGCCAGGCUACCGACCUACCUCAAGGCUUCAGCCCUCAGGUUCAGGAUGCCUGGCCCAUGAUGAACGGAGAGAUCAUUAUUUUAAUUGCAAAAUGUCUAUCAACGAAGAGUCUCAUUUGAUGAUGUGGAUGGAUCGAGAAUUAAACCUUUUACUUUUUAAAAUUAAUUAGCUAAUUUAUUAGUCUUUUUCCAAGACUAAUCUCUAGGCUGGAUUCAAGGGCACCUAGGCCAGCCCUCGGGGAUGGCUCCAUGCCAGGCUGGCCCUGGGUGCUCUCUGUGGCCAGCUGCACUGGGCGCUGCAGCUCAGGGAGGCUGUGUCUGCUGCCCACAUGGUGCCUUGCUGGGUGCCUGGGACCCAGUUCUGCCACCUUUCCCCCACCUGCCAGCUCGCUGCUUCUCUGUUGAGGGUUGUGGUUGACACCUUGACCUUGUGCAGGGUGUGAGGCAAGGGCCAUGCUGCUCCAUCCCCCAGAGCUCCUGUGGGUCUGGCUGUC
rnacentral:lncRNA from 1 species